rnacentral:misc_RNA from 1 species
AGAGGAGGAGGAGGAGGAGGAGUUGAAGAAGAUGCAGGAGGAGACAGGCAUCAAGGAUAGCGCGUCUUGACGUCUUGUAUUGGGAGUCAAAGUAACUUGUGAGGGAAAAUCUACUCCUUUUGGAAGCAAAAACUGACCACUCCAACCCCAUUACGCAUCAUUCGGCCCAUUUUAGUGGAAUCCACUCUUUCACUAACCUUAAAAC